rnacentral:rRNA from 1 species
UACGAAGGGGGCUAGCGUUGCUCGGAAUCACUGGGCGUAAAGGGUGCGUAGGCGGGUCUUUAAGUCAGGGGGGAAAUCCUGGAGCUCAACUCCAGAACUGCCUUUGAUACUGGCAAUCUCGAGUCCGGGAGAGGUGAGUGGAACUGCGAGUGUAGAGGUGAAAUUCGUAGAUAUUCGCAAGAACACCAGUGGUGAAGGCGGCUCACUGGCCCGGUACUGACGCUGAGGUGCGAAAGCGUGGGGAGCAAACAGG